ACGAUGGCCACACUGUCUCCUCCCGAGACUCAGCGAAGUUGAAGUGGUUGUGAAGAUGCAAUCUACCCGCUGCUAGACGGAAAGACCCCGUGAACCUUUACUGUAGCUUUGCAUUGGACUUUGAAGUCACUUGUGUAGGAUAGGUGGGAGGCUUGGAAGCAGAGACGCCAGUCUCUGUGGAGUCGUCCUUGAAAUACCACCCUGGUGUCUUUGAGGUUCUAACCCAGACCCGUCAUCCGGGUCGGGGACCGUGCAUGGUAGGCAGUUUGACUGGGGCGGUCUCCUCCCAAAGCGUAACGGAGGAGUUCGAAGGUUACCUAGGUCCGGUCGGAAAUCGGACUGAUAGUGCAAUGGCAAAAGGUAGCUUAACUGCGAGACCGACAAGUCGGGCAGGUGCGAAAGCAGGACAUAGUGAUCCGGUGGUUCUGUAUGGAAGGGCCAUCGCUCAACGGAUAAAAGGUACUCCGGGGAUAACAGGCUGAUUCCGCCCAAGAGUUCAUAUCGACGGCGGAGUUUGGCACCUCGAUGUCGGCUCAUCACAUCCUGGGGCUGUAGUCGGUCCCAAGGGUAUGGCUGUUCGCCAUUUAAAGUGGUACGUGAGCUGGGUUUAAAACGUCGUGAGACAGUUUGGUCCCUAUCUGCAGUGGGCGUUGGAAGUUUGACGGGGGCUGCUCCUAAUACGAGA
rnacentral:rRNA from 1 species